rnacentral:rRNA from 1 species
AAUCAAACCGGGAGAUAGCUGGUUCUCCCGAAAGCUAUUUAGGUAGCGCCUCGGCGAACACCUACGGGGUAGAGCACUGUUAAGGCUAGGGGUCAUCCCGACUUACCAACCCUUGCAAACUCCGAAUACCGUAGAGUGCUAUCCGGGAGACACACGGCGGGUGCUAACGUCCGUCGUGAAGAGGGAAACAACCCAGACCGCCAGCUAAGGUCCAAAGUCAUGGUUAAGUGGGAACGAUGUGGGAGGCUUAGACAGCUAGGAUGUUGGCUUAGAAGCAGCCAUCAUUUAAAAGAAAGCGUAAUAGCUCACUAGUCGAGUCGGCCUGCGCGAAGAUGUAACGGGGCUAAACCAUGCACCGAAGCUGCGGCAAUGACGCUUAGGCGUUAUUGGGUAGGGGGAGCGUUCUGUAAGCGGUUGAAGGUGUACUGUGAGGUAUGCCUGACGUAUCAGAAGUGCGAAUGCUGACAUAAGUAACGAUAAAGCGGGUGAAAAGCCCGCUCGCCGGAAGACCAAGGGUUCCUGUUCAACGUUAUCGGAGCAGGGUGAUCGACCCCUAAGGCGAGGCUGAAAAGCGUAGUCGAUGGGAAACGGGUUAAUAUUCCCGUACUUGUGGUAACUGCGAAGGGGGGACGGAGAAAGUUAGGCUAUCCGGGCGACGGUUGUCCCGGUUUAAGCGUGAAGGUGGAGAGACUAGGCAAAUCCGGUCUUUCAUUAACACUGAGGCGUGAUGACGAAGCACUACGGUGCUGAAGUAGCUGAUACUACGCUUCCAGGAAAAGCCUCUAAGCAUCAGGUUACCAGAAAUCGUACCCCAAACCGACACAGGUGGUCAGGUAGAGAAUACUCAGGCGCUUGAGAGAACUCGGGUGAAGGAACUAGGCAAAAUGGUGCCGUAACUUCGGGAGAAGGCACGCUGAUGGUAGGUGAAGUCCCUCGCGGAUGGAGCUGAACUCAGUCGAAGAUACCAGCUGGCUGCAACUGUUUAUUAAAAACACAGCACUGUGCAAACACGAAAGUGGACGUAUACGGUGUGACGCCUGCCCGGUGCCGGAAGGUUAAUUGAUGGGGUUAGCGAAAGCGAAGCUCUUGAUCGAAGCCCCGGUAAACGGCGGCCGUAACUAUAACGGUCCUAAGGUAGCGAAAUUCCUUGUCGGGUAAGUUCCGACCUGCACGAAUGGCGUAAUGAUGGCCAGGCUGUCUCCACCCGAGACUCAGUGAAAUUGAAAUCGCUGUGAAGAUGCAGUGUACCCGCGGCAAGACGGAAAGACCCCGUGAACCUUUACUAUAGCUUGACACUGAACAUUGAGCCUUGAUGUGUAGGAUAGGUGGGAGGCAUUGAAACGUGAACGCCAGUUUGCGUGGAGCCGACCUUGAAAUACCACCCUUUAAUGUUUGAUGUUCUAACGUUGUCCCGUAAUCCGGGAUACGGACAGUGUCUGGUGGGUAGUUUGACUGGGGCGGUCUCCUCCUAAAGAGUAACGGAGGAGCACGAAGGUUAGCUAAGCAUGGUCGGACAUCAUGCGGUUAGUGCAAAGGCAGAAGCUAGCUUAACUGCGAGACGGACAGGUCGAGCAGAUACGAAAGUAGGUCUUAGUGAUCCGGUGGUUCUGAAUGGAAGGGCCAUCGCUCAACGGAUAAAAGGUACUCCGGGGAUAACAGGCUGAUACCGCCCAAGAGUUCAUAUCGACGGCGGUGUUUGGCACCUCGAUGUCGGCUCAUCACAUCCUGGGGCUGAAGUUGGUCCCAAGGGUAUGGCUGUUCGCCAUUUAAAGUGGUACGCGAGCUGGGUUUAGAACGUCGUGAGACAGUUCGGUCCCUAUCUGUCGUGGGCGUUGGAUGAUUGAGGGGGGCUGCUCCUAGUACGAGAGGACCGGAGUGGACGCAUCUCUGGUGUUCCGGUUGUCACGCCAGUGGCAUUGCCGGGUAGCUAAAUGCGGAAGAGAUAAGCGCUGAAAGCAUCUAAGCGCGAAACUUGCCCCGAGAUGAGUCAUCCCUGAGGCUUUAAGCCUCCUAAAGGGUUGUUGGAGACUACGACGUAGAUAGGCAGGGUGUGUAAGCGUAGCGAUACGUUGAGCUAACCUGUACUAAUUGCCCGUGAGGCUUAACCAU